rnacentral:lncRNA from 1 species
GGAGGAAGGGAGGUAACCGGAGUAAUAAAGGGUGGGAUGUGGCCGCUCGAGGCCGUGUGUAGGAUUAAGGUUAAAAUACCUGACUAGGGCAUUGCUAGCCCCAGAAAAAAAGAAAAAAAAUGUUAACCACCAGAUGUAGCUUUCACGUCUACUGUUUGCUUGAACGAUUGUUUUUGUUUUCUAGUAUAUAGAAAAGGCUCUUGCAAGUUUUUUUCCUGACAUUGUAUCCGUGUCCAAAGAGGAGAAAGAACGAAGCACGAGUUAACAAUUAUUUGAAGUAUUCGCUAGAAAAUAGAUGCUCGGAUUCUCCUCUAAUUUUGGGUUUUCGUCUGUGUGUUGUCAAGAGCCAAUGAGAAGGCUUGGCUCAGGGACCUCACUUGCCUAGAACUCAUAAGGCAGAAAAAGAAACUUUACUCCCAGAAGUUGUAUUCUGACCUCCUCACCGACCCACAAGCAAUCGCAAAAUAGUAAUUUUAAAGUUUUUAAGUAUCUCACUCGGCUAGUGGUGAUGGUUCAUGCCUGUAAUCUCAAUAGUCAAGG